rnacentral:rRNA from 1 species
ACCCCUCAUGCUGGCCCUCCGGGCCACUUGGGCGGGCGUGCUCUCGGGCCGCUCGGGCCCCUCUCUCAGAGGGUGGUCGGCUAACUCUUCCACACACCCAACCAAUCUGUCUGUCUGAAGAUGAUUCGAGCCGGCCUCGCCGAUCGAUUUAACAAAGACAACUCUCAACAACGGAUAUCUUGGCUCUCGCAACGAUGAAGAACGCAGCGAAAUGCGAUACGUAGUGUGAAUUGCAGAAUUCCGUGAAUCAUCGAAUCUUUGAACGCAUAUUGCGGUCGAGGCUUCGGCCAAGACCAUGUCUGCCUCAGCGUCGGUGUGAACCCUCAUCCCCCCUCACGGGCUCGGAUGGACCUGGCCUCCUCAGCUUCACGGCUGGGCUGGCUGAAAUUCAGAGGUUUAAGCUUGGGCCUGUAUGGCAACAGCAAGGUAGGUAGUUUACUACUCCAGCUGAUGCUUUGGGCACUCGCUCGGACCCGCAGGAAAUUCUCACCCUUUCGACCUGAGAUCAGGCAAGGCU